UCGGACGUGGUGUACGGUACACCGCGCAGUAUUAGAUGGGCCAGAUUUAUAAUCUUUAGCCGCUCGCAGUCCGGGGUUCGACUCCCCGCGUCCGAA